rnacentral:rRNA from 1 species
CCCGCUGAACUUAAGCAUAUCAAUAAGCGGAGGAAAAGAAACUAACAAGGAUUCCCUUAGUAACUGCGAGUGAAGAGGGAAAAGCUCAAAUUUAAAAUCUGGCAGUGUUUCACUGUCCGAGUUGUAUCCUAGAGAAGUGUCGCCUGAGCUGGCCCGUGUAUAAGUCUCCUGGAAUGGAGCAUCACAGAGGGAGAGAAUCCCGUCUUCGACAUGCACCACCAGCUCUUUGAGGCUGUGCUCUCGACGAGACGAGUUGGUUGGUACUGCUCCUCUCAACGGGUGGUAAAUUCCAUCUAUAGCUACAUAUUGGCGAGAGACUGAUAACGUACAAGUUCCGUGAAGGACAGAUGAAAAGAACUUUGGAGAGAGAGUUAAUGCAGUAUGUGAAAUUGUUGAAAGUGAAACGUUUGAAGUCAGUCGCAUAGGUUGGGGAUCAACCUCACAUUGUUGGGUUUGCUUUCUGGUCGGCGUGCCCACAUCACUUUUGACUGUCAGAAAAAGCACAAUGGAUUGUGGCACCUUUGGGUGUGUGAUAGCCAUUGGUCGUAUCUGGUGGUUGGGUCUGAGGAAAUCAGCGUGCCGAAAGGCCGGGUAUGGAUCACGUUCGCGCUGAGGAUGCUGGCAUAAUGGCUUUAAGCGACCCGUCUUGAAACACGG